rnacentral:rRNA from 1 species
GAUGAACGCUGGCGGCGUGCCUAAUACAUGCAAGUCGAGCGAACAGACGAGGAGCUUGCUCCUCUGACGUUAGCGGCGGACGGGUGAGUAACACGUGGAUAACCUACCUAUAAGACUGGGAUAACUUCGGGAAACCGGAGCUAAUACCGGAUAAUAUAUUGAACCGCAUGGUUCAAUAGUGAAAGACGGUUUUGCCGUCUCUUAUAGAUGGAUCCGCGCCGCAUUAGCUAGUUGGUAAGGUAACGGCUUACCAAGGCGACGAUGCGUAGCCGACCUGAGAGGGUGAUCGGCCACACUGGAACUGAGACACGGUCCAGACUCCUACGGGAGGCAGCAGUAGGGAAUCUUCCGCAAUGGGCGAAAGCCUGACGGAGCAACGCCGCGUGAGUGAUGAAGGUCUUCGGAUCGUAAAACUCUGUUAUUAGGGAAGAACAAAUGUGUAAGUAACUAUGCACGUCUUGACGGUACCUAAUCAGAAAGCCACGGCUAACUACGUG